AGUGAACGCUGGCGGUAGGCCUAACACAUGCAAGUCGAACGGCAGCACAGUAAGAGCUUGCUCUUACGGGUGGCGAGUGGCGGACGGGUGAGGAAUACAUCUGAAUCUACUUUUUCGUGGGGGAUAACGUAGGGAAACUUACGCUAAUACCGCAUACGACCUACGGGUGGAAGCAGGGGAUCUUCGGACCUUGCGCGAUUGAAUGAGCCGAUGUCGGAUUAGCUAGUUGGCGGGGUAAAGGCCCACCAAGGCGACGAUCCGUAGCUGGUCUGAGAGGAUGAUCAGCCACACUGGAACUGAGACACGGUCCAGACUCCUACGGGAGGCAGCAGUGGGGAAUAUUGGACAAUGGGCGCAAGCCUGAUCCAGCCAUACCGCGUGGGUGAAGAAGGCCUUCGGGUUGUAAAGCCCUUUUGUUGGGAAAGAAAAGCAGCAGGUUAAUACCCCGCUGUUCUGACGGUACCCAAAGAAUAAGCACCGGCUAACUUCGUG
rnacentral:rRNA from 1 species